rnacentral:rRNA from 1 species
GAUGAACGCUGGCGGCGUGCCUAAUACAUGCAAGUCGAGCGAACAGACGAGGAGCUUGCUCCUCUGACGUUAGCGGCGGACGGGUGAUUAACACGUGGAUAACCUACCUAUAAGACUGGGAUAACUUCGGGAAACCGGAGCUAAUACCGGAUAAUAUAUUGAACCGCAUGGUUCAAUAGUGAAAGACGGUUUUGCUGUCACUUAUAGAUGGAUCCGCGCCGCAUUAGCUAGUUGGUAAGGUAACGGCUUACCAAGGCAACGAUGCGUAGCCGACCUGAGAGGGUGAUCGGCCACACUGGAACUGAGACACGGUCCAGACUCCUACGGGAGGCAGCAGUAGGGAAUCUUCCGCAAUGGGCGAAAGCCUGACGGAGCAACGCCGCGUGAGUGAUGAAGGUCUUCGGAUCGUAAAACUCUGUUAUUAGGGAAGAACAAGUGUGUAAGUAAAUAUGCACGCCUUGACGGUACCUAAUCAGAAAGCAACGGCUAACUACGUG